AACGAACGCUGGCGGCAUGCCUAACACAUGCAAGUCGAACGAGACCUUCGGGUCUAGUGGCGCACGGGUGCGUAACGCGUGGGAACCUGCCCUUAAGUUCGGAAUAACUCCCCGAAAGGGGUGCUAAUACCGGAUAAUGUCUUCGGACCAAAGAUUUAUCGCCUUUGGAUGGGCCCGCGUUGGAUUAGCUAGUUGGUAGGGUAAAAGCCUACCAAGGCGACGAUCCAUAGCUGGUCUGAGAGGAUGAUCAGCCACACUGGGACUGAGACACGGCCCAGACUCCUACGGGAGGCAGCAGUUGGGAAUAUUGGACAAUGGGCGAAAGCCUGAUACAGCAAUGCCGCGGGAGUGAUGAAGGCCUUAGGGUUGUAAAGCUCUUUUAACCGGGAUGAUAAUGACAGUACCGGGAGAAUAAGCGCCGGCUAACUCCGUG
rnacentral:rRNA from 1 species